UCAGAGCUUCAUUUCUG
rnacentral:misc_RNA from 1 species